rnacentral:rRNA from 1 species
UACAGGGGGUGCAAACGGUUUGUGUACGUCGGAAUCAUUGGGCGUAAAGCGCACGUAAGGCGGGUCUCGUUAUGUCGGAUGUGAAAGCCCUUGGCUCAAACUGAGGAAGUGCAUCCGAAACUGGCAGGCUAGAGUAACUAAAGAGGAUCGCGGAAUUUCCGGUGUACGCGGUGAAAUGCGUAGAUAUCGGAAGGAACACCAGUGGCGAAAAGCGGCUUCCGUGGUCCGACACCGACGUUCAGGCACGAAAGCGUGGGGAGCAAACAGG